UACGAAGGGGGCUAGCGUUGUUCGGAAUUACUGGGCGUAAAGGGCGCGUAGGCGGUGCCUCAAGUCAGGUGUGAAAGCCCCGGGCUCAACCUGGGAAUGGCAUUUGAGACUGCAUAGCUAGGGUGCGGAAGAGGGAAGCGGAAUUUCCGGUGUAGCGGUGAAAUGCGUAGAUAUCGGAAGGAACAUCAGUGGCGAAAGCGGCUUCCUGGUCCAGCACCGACGUUCAGGCACGAAAGCGUGGGGAGCAAACAGG
rnacentral:rRNA from 1 species